ACACGAUUUCGGGCAAAUAAAGAAAAUAAAAAAUUAAAGAAAACCAUAUCCUUUCUUUUCUCUGUCCUAGGGACCUCUCUAUACCGAUACGAAAUCUCAGAUCACAAAUUAAAACGGUGAACCAGAUCAAAUAUGAGACAACCACUCCUCUUCUAGAGAAUGAAUAAUACAUUUUCUCCUUAAGACAUCUAUUUCGUGACACUCAACUAGGAUGAUAGAUGUUCUACCUCUCUGUCUUAGUAACCUCCUGAACCACCGUCGAAGCUUUUUCAAUCCACCAAACAUCUCGUUUUCACCGAAAUCCUUCCUUGACUAGUAGGUGAGCUACUCAAUUUUCCCCUCUCUUUAUAUGUUGGAACUUGAUACUUUUAGAGCCCACAGAAAUUUAUUUUGCUUCCCAAAUAAAAUUAUUAAUCAUCAAUCUGUCAAUGGACAUCGCUUUAAACUUCUUUUAUCACCACCGAGGAGUCGCCUUCUACUUCCACAGACCGGAAACUCAUCUCCUGAGUGAAUUUGAUUGCUUGGGUGCUUGCUAAGGUCUCUACAGUUAAAACAUCAGAUCUUUAUAGAAGCCGGCAUCGAAGUUUACCCAAAUAAAAGGCUCCAAAAGAGGUCGUCACCCCACUGACUCUAUUAGCUUAAGCUUUAAUUGUUCCCCUGCCAGUAUUUCCAAAAAUAUCAACAAUAUUACAUUUGCCAAUGUAUACUCAAUGAGCAUGAAUUUGCCUCUACUUUUAUUAUUUACCUAACAUCAACAGAUGAUUGUCUACAUCCCAACAGCUAAAAGAAACUUUAUAUAUCAAAUAAAGCAGAGUUUUGGAGCAAAA